UACGUAGGCAGCAAGCGUUGUUCGGAGUUACUGGGCGUAAAGGGUGUGUAGGCGGUUGUUUAAGUUUGGUGUGAAAUCUCCCGGCUCAACUGGGAGGGUGCGCCGAAUACUGAAUGACUCGAGUGCGGGAGAGGAAAGUGGAAUUCCUGGUGUAGCGGUGAAAUGCGUAGAUAUCAGGAGGAACACCGGUGGUGUAGACGGCUUUCUGGACCGUAACUGACGCUGAGACGCGAAAGCGUGGGGAGCGAACCGG
rnacentral:rRNA from 1 species